AUACGGAGGGUGCAAGCGUUAUUCGGAAUCACUGGGCGUAAAGGACGCGUAGGCGGGUUGGCAAGUCAGAUGUGAAAUCCUACAGCUUAACUGUAGAACUGCAUUUGAAACUGCUAACCUAGAGUAUGGGAGGGGGAGAUGGAAUUAGUGGUGUAGGGGUAAAAUCCGUAGAUAUCACUAGGAAUACCGAAAGCGAAGGCGAUCUCCUGGAACAUAACUGACGCUAAGGCGCGAAAGCGUGGGGAGCAAACAGGAUUAGAAACCCGAGUAGUCC
rnacentral:rRNA from 1 species